GCGAAGUACACAUGCGGUAUUUAUCUUGAUCUAUGUCUGUGGUUGUAACCUAGUUGCUGUAGGUCAAUGUACAAAUUUCACUUUGUUCUAUGACCAGGCUAUGUAAUAGAUAUAUAUUUUAUACUCCUAGAUAAACAGUUUUACAUGUUAGCAUACUAGAUUUGAGACUUUAUAAUAAGUUUAAGUUACCCUCCGAUUAUGUUGAUGCGUCUAGUAAUUGUUAUCAAUGUUUUAAGGGCAUCGCGCAUACAUGUUGUUUUUGGUAGAAAAAUACUCUUUGAAAUACUCUGAAGCUAAAGUUUGGUUGGGAUAAUGUAUUAUGUUGAUAUGACAUGUGUGCGUCGGGCCUUAUGUGAAUAAAUGUAUUAACUUGUAUAUAAAUUGCGCUUUACAUAUCCGAAGCUUGAAUAAAUUUUACCAAAUAUAAA